rnacentral:rRNA from 1 species
UACGUAGGGUGCGAGCGUUAAUCGGAAUUACUGGGCGUAAAGCGUGCGCAGGCGGUUCUAUAAGACAGAUGUGAAAUCCCCGGGCUCAACCUGGGAACUGCAUUUGUGACUGUAGAGCUGGAGUGCGGCAGAGGGGGAUGGAAUUCCGCGUGUAGCAGUGAAAUGCGUAGAUAUGCGGAGGAACACCGAUGGCGAAGGCAGCCCCCUGGGCCAAUACUGACGCUCAUGCACGAAAGCGUGGGGAGCAAACAGG